rnacentral:lncRNA from 1 species
ACAGGGCAGCCCGUCGGCCUCCGGAGAGCGGCGGCGAGCGGGUCCGAGGAGCACCGGGCUGCGGCUGGGGCGCGUUCUCUGCCCCGACCACCGCCCUCCCCGCCGAGCAAAGCCCCUACAGUCCCCGACGCCCGCGUGGAGAGUGGCCCAGAGAAGGCGCCCGGCCCGCCGCUGCUUCGCCCAAAGUUGCGGAAGCCCGAGCCCCCGCGGUGGGCUGGAGAGACGCGACGCGCUGCAGCUUGAGGAAGACUGUCCUCGGGCAACUGGCUCCAGGAGACAGAAGGUAAGAGUGAAGACACAUAUUGAAGUCAACAGGGCCACAAGAUGGAAGAAGCCAUGGUCCCUGAGUCACUGCAUGGCUUCAUGCUGCCAGAAGUAGCCCAAUCCAUGUGAAACUGUGACAUAAGAAAAACAGAAACUUUUAUUGUAUCAAGCAUUGAGAUACUGGGUUUCUUCUUACAGCUAAUGAUAAUUGCCCUGACUGGUACAUUUCACUGAGGAUAUAAAGUGCAUUAUACUAUAAACUCAUCUUUGGACUUUUUAAAAAUAGGCUCAUUGCAGUAUGAAUGACUUAUAAUAAACUGCACAUAUUCGAAGAUUAGUAAAUGAUGUGUCCACAUACUGUAUAUCCAUGAAACCAUAACCACAAUCAAAAUAACAAUCAUUUCUCUUACCCACAGUUGUCUCCUCGUUUCCCCUCUGAAAUCCUUUCCUUUCUACCCCUCCUUCCUCUCCACCCCCAUGUUUGCAUUUUCUAGAAUUUUUAUAUAAAUGGACUUAUACAGUAUCUAGUCUUUUUUCCAGCAUCUUUCACACAGCAUGGUGGUAUUGAGAUUCAUCCAUUUUGAUGAGUUUAUCAAGAGUCUGUUCAUUUCUGAAGUAUUCUGUCAUACAGGUGCACCAUAUUUAUUCAUCCUGCUGAUGGACAUUUGUGUUGUCCUUUGGACUAUCCCAAGGACACUAAAAUUUUUUCCUGUAUUUUCUUUCAUAAGUUUUAUGCUAUCAGCUCUUAUGUUUAGGUCCAUGAUCCAAAGGUAUGAGGUAUGGUAAUUAAGGUUUGUAUUUUUGCACAUGGCUCUCCAACUGUUCCAGCACCAUUUGUUGAAAAGAUUAUUCUUUCC